rnacentral:rRNA from 1 species
UUGAAAGGGAAACGAUUGAAGUCAGUCGUACCCUCGGGUAAUCAGCCUUUUGGGUGUGAUUUUGUGGAGUGUGAGGAGUUAAACGCCUUCAUGCCUGCAUAUUCGUGCACUUUGGGUGUAUUUGCCCGUGUGGUAAGUUAACAUCAAUUUUGGUGGUCAUAAAAUGGCUGGAGGAAUGUAGCUUCGAUCUUGUAUUGAAGUGUUAUAGCCUUCGGUAGAUGUGAUGAUCGGGAUUGAGGAUUGCAACGGAUACCCCUCGGGGCUACCUGUCUGAUCUCUGAUCGUUGCUCUGGUGCCGAAAGCUUGUUUACGGUUAUCAAAGUCGAUGGUCAAUAGGUUAGAACGGGUUAAAUUCGUUAAGGAUGUUGACGUA